AGCGACAGGUUGGCGGUGGGCAGCACGUCGGUGUACUGACGGUUCAGGCGAUUGGUGCCGAUCGCCGGGCUGACGCCGUUCCAUUCGACGUUGCCGAUG
rnacentral:tRNA from 1 species